rnacentral:rRNA from 1 species
GACGAACGCUGGCGGCGUGCCUAAUACAUGCAAGUCGAACGCAGUGGGGACGGGUGAGUAACACGUGGGUAACCUCCCAUCAGAGGGGAUAACACUUGGAAACAGGUGCUAAACCGAUACUGAUGGAUGGACCCGCGGUGCAUUAGCUAGGUGGUGAGGUAACGGCUCACCAAGGCCACGAUGCAUAGCCGGGCUGAUAGGGUGAUCGGCCACACUGGGACGGAGACACGGACCAGACUCCUACGGGAGGCAGCAGGAGGUAAUCUUCGGCAAUGGACGCAAGUCUGACCGAGCAUCGCCGCGUGAGUGAAGCAGGUUUACGGAUCGCAAAACGCUGUUGUUAGAUGAGCGGUAUCUAACCAGAAAGCCACGGCUAACUACGUGCCAGCAGCCGCGGUAAUUC